AUAAAAAAAUAUACAUACUUCGUUAUAAAUAUUGCGUUUUGAAAAUAAUUUUAUGAUUGAAUAACAAAAUUCAUAUCACAAUGAACGGAAAAAUUUUAUUCGUUACAUUUUUAGUACUAUCAUGCUUCUUUACAACAACAAUAGUUAGUUGUGAACCAAAUCCUAUACCAGAACCGGGUGGUGACGCAAUUAGUGUGAACCCAACGAACACAGCAAGUAACCGGAAUGAUCAAUCAACUCAAGGCAAACAGAAUCAGAAUCACAAGGACUAGCUUUAGUCAAUGAGUUUGAUGGUGGAUCAAUCUUCGUAAGAACCUCAUUCGACAAAAAUAUAUUGUUGAAAAAAUUAA